rnacentral:snRNA from 1 species
AUACUUACCUGCCAUGGGAGACACCAUGAUCACAAAGGUGGUUUAUCCAUUGCACUCCAGGGCAAGGCUUAUCCAUUGCACUCCGGAUGUGCUGACCCCUGCGAUUUCCCCAAAUGUGGGAAACUCGACUGCAUAAUUUGUGGUAGUGGGGGACUGCAUUCACGCUCUCCCCUG